GGAAAAUGGACGUUUUCUGUCACGAGAUAUUUAUGCCUAUUCAUCUGGUUUGAAUGGGAAAUUGUGGACUAGAGACACUUCUCCUCUUCAGUCAAAUGGUAACCAGCAGCCGGAGGUACUGUUAGAUAAACAGGCAGAAUCAGAUGAAAAGGAUCUGAUGUACAUAAAGCUUAAAGAAAUGGCUCUUCAGCGUAAAUUCUCAGUUGGCAUUACAGAUGGGCCUUCAAAUGAAGCCACCACUGCAGUCGUACCUGCGUCUAUAAAUCAAGCAAUCAGUGGGCAAGAAAUUUUGCAGGAAGAGCUGCCACUUGAAGAAGAGCAGAAUGUAGACUGUUCGUGCGACUCAACUAUUAUACCUCAGCUUCGCCAAGAAUUGGAAAAAGAAAAGCUUAAGAGCAAUAAUUUGGAGCAGAGGCUGGCUCAUGCACAACAACAGAUUAAACAGUUAACAUAUAAAUGCAUGAUGCUGGAGUCCUCAAAUACUGUUUGCACACAUGCUGAUGAAAUGAUUAUCGACCAUACUAAUGAUGCACACCUGAAGCAUGAGAUGAUUUUCCUAACUGGAGGAUAUGAUGGUGUGUCAUGGUUAUCUGCAUUGGACUCUUAUUUGCCUUCAUUCGACGUGUUAAAGUCACUUAAACCAAUGAAUUCAGUCCGUGCAUAUGCCUCGGUUGCAAAGCUGAAUGGAGAAUUUUAUGUAUUUGGUGGUGGAACUGCAUCCGUAUGGUACGACACAGUUGAAUCAUAUAACACAACUGAUGAUGAAUGGACUGUGUUACCUUGUAUGAAAGAGAAAAAGGGUAGCUUAGCUGGUGCAGCUUUGAAGGACAAAAUAUUUGCAGUUGGUGGUGGAAAUGGGAUAGAAUGUUUUUCACAUGUUGAAAUGUAUGAUCCUCAAGUAGGACGAUGGAUCAAUACACAAUCCAUGUUGCAGAAGAGAUUUGCUCUUGCUGCAGCAGAACUUAAUGGUGCAUUAUAUGCUGUUGGUGGAUAUGACGGGAGCGAUUACCUGGAGACUGCUGAAAGAUUUGAUCCCAGAGAACAUUCCUGGUCAAAAAUUGCAAGUAUGAGCACAAAAAGAGGAUGCCAUUCGUUGGUUGCCUUGAGUGGGAAGUUAUAUGCACUUGGUGGCUACAAUGGAUCUACAAUGGUGCCUAGUGUUGAGAUAUAUGACCCCCGUGUAGGAACAUGGAUAGUUGGUGAGCCAAUGAACCAGUCAAGGGGAUAUUCAGCUGCUGCUGUCCUAAAGGAAUCCAUUUAUGUCAUUGGUGGGGUUCAAUCCAAUGAGGAGAUAGUAGAUGUGGUUGAAUGUUACAAGGAGGGUGAAGGUUGGCAAAUGCCUAGCUUGAGCGCUAUUGGGAAAAGGUGUUUCUCCUCCGCUAUGGUUUUAGAAGAAGACUGAACUCUGCUUUGUAUAGAAGCUGAUGUGGAGCUAUUAGGAGUGGUUUCUUCAUAGAAUUUAAUGCCAUCCUUUGUCCAGCAGUAUUUAUAGCUAUUAUUUUGAAUUUAUGGAUCAUAUUAGUAUCUGUUCCUUGUGCAUUUGUGCAACAAGAUUGAAUGAGUUUUCUCAACUUUUAUAGUAGUAAAGUGGUUUUUCU
rnacentral:misc_RNA from 1 species